AUUGAACGCUGGCGGCAGGCUUAACACAUGCAAGUCGAGCGGAGUGAUGGUGCUUGCACUAUCGCUUAGCGGCGGACGGGUGAGUAAUGCUUAGGAAUCUGCCUAUUAGUGGGGGACAACAUCUCGAAAGGGAUGCUAAUACCGCAUACGUCCUACGGGAGAAAGCAGGGGAUCACUUGUGCCCUUGCGCUAAUAGAUGAGCCUAAGUCGGAUUAGCUAGUUGGUGGGGUAAAGGCCUACCAAGGCGACGAUCUGUAGCGGGUCUGAGAGGAUGAUCGGCCACACUGGGACUGAGACACGGCCCAGACUCCUACGGGAGGCAGCAGUGGGGAAGAUUGGACAAUGGGGGGAACCCUGAUCCAGCCAUGCCGCGUGUGUGAAGAAGGCCUUAUGGUUGUAAAGCACUUUAAGCGAGGAGGAGGCUCUUUUGGUUAAUACCCAAGAUGAGUGGACGUUACUCGCAGAAUAAGCACCGGCUAACUCUGUGCCAGCAGCCGCCGUAA
rnacentral:rRNA from 1 species